AUCUGUGACCAUACCACCCUGAAUCCACCUGAUUUUGUCUGCACUCAAAAGCUAAGGUGGGUUGGACCUGAUUAGUACUUGACAGGAAAAAUCAUUAAAUCAAAAAGACAUUUGAGGGCUAGAUGUGGUGGUUC
rnacentral:rRNA from 1 species